AUUGAACGCUGGCGGCAUGCCUUACACAUGCAAGUCGAACGGUAACAGGUUAAGCUGACGAGUGGCGAACGGGUGAGUAAUGUAUCGGAACGUGCCCAGUCGUGGGGGAUAACUACUCGAAAGAGUGGCUAAUACCGCAUACGACCUGAGGGUGAAAGCGGGGGACCGUAAGGCCUCGCGCGAUUGGAGCGGCCGAUAUCAGAUUAGCUAGUUGGUGGGGUAAAAGCCCACCAAGGCGACGAUCUGUAGCUGGUCUGAGAGGACGACCAGCCGGACUGGGACUGAGACACGGCCCAGACUCCUACGGGAGGCAGCAGUGGGGAAUAUUGGACAAUGGGCGCAAGCCUGAUCCAGCCAUGCCGCGUGUGUGAAGAAGGCCUUCGGGUUGUAAAGCACUUUCAGCGAGGAGGAAGGGGUGUGUGUUAAUAGUACACACCUUUGACGUUACUCGCAGAAGAAGCACCGGCUAACUCUGUGCCAGCAGCCGCGGUAAAAC
rnacentral:rRNA from 1 species